CCUACGGGAGGCAGCAGUGAAGAAUAUUGGUCAAUGGACGAGAGUCUGAACCAGCCCAGUAGCGUGAAGGAUGACUGCCCUAUGGGUUGUAAACUUCUUUUAUAAAGGAAUAAAACGAGUCACGUGUACCUUUUUGCAUGUACUUUAUGAAUAAGGAACGGCUAACUCCGUGCCAGCAGCCGCGGUAAUACGGAGGAUCCGAGCGUUAUCCGGAUUUAUUGGGUUUAAAGGGAGCGUAGAUGGGUUGUUAAGUCAGUUGUGAAAUUUUGCGGCUCAACCGUAAAAUUGCAAUUGAUACUGGCAUUCUUGAGUACAGUUGAGGUAAGCGGAAUUCGUGGUGUAGCGGUGAAAUGCUUAGAUAUCACGAAGAACCCCGAUUGCGAAGGCAGCUUACUAAACUGUGACUGACAUUGAUGCUCGAAAGUGUGGGUAUCAAACAGGAUUAGAUACCCCAGUAGUC
rnacentral:rRNA from 1 species